rnacentral:rRNA from 1 species
CCGUAACUAUAACGGUCCUAAGGUAGCGAAAUUCCUUGUCGGGUAAGUUCCGACCCGCACGAAAGGCGUAACGAUCUGGGCACUGUCUCAACGAGAGACUCGGUGAAAUUGAAUUGCCUGUGAAGAUGCAGGCUACCCGCGACAGGACGGAAAGACCCCAUGGAGCUUUACUGUAGCUUGAUAUUGAGUGCUUGUACUGCUUGUACAGGAUAGGUAGGAGCCAUAGAAGCCAGGACGCUAGUUUUGGCAGAGGCGUUGGUGGGAUACUACCCUUGCAUUAUGAUCACUCUAACCCGCACCACUGAUCGUGGUGGGAGACAGUGUCAGGUGGGCAGUUUGACUGGGGCGGUCGCCUCCCAAAAGAUAACGGAGGCGCCCAAAGGUUCGCUCAGAAUGGUUGGAAAUCAUUCGCAGAGUGUAAAGGCACAAGCGAGCUUGACUGCGAGACAGACAGGUCGAGCAGGGACGAAAGUCGGGCUUAGUGAUCCGGUGGUUCCGCAUGGAAGGGCCAUCGCUCAACGGAUAAAAGCUACCCUGGGGAUAACAGGCUUAUCUCCCCCAAGAGUCCACAUCGACGGGGAGGUUUGGCACCUCGAUGUCGGCUCAUCGCAUCCUGGGGCUGUAGUCGGUCCCAAGGGUUGGGCUGUUCGCCCAUUAAAGCGGUACGCGAGCUGGGUUCAGAACGUCGUGAGACAGUUCGGUCCCUAUCCGUCGCGGGCGUAGGAAAUUUGAGAGGACCUGUCCUUAGUACGAGAGGACCGGGAUGGACAUACCGCUGGUGUACCAGUUGUUCCGCCAGGAGCAUCGCUGGGUAGCUAUGUAUGGAUGAGAUAAACGCUGAAAGCAUCUAAGCGUGAAACUCGCCUCAAGAUGAGAUUUCCCAUUCCUUAUGGAAGUAAGACCCCUCAGAGAUGAUGAGGUAGAUAGGAUGGAAGUGGAAGUGCCGCGAGGCAUGGAGCGGACCAUUACUAAUCGGUCGAGGACUUAACCAA